UGGCUCAGAACGAACGCUGGCGGCAGGCUUAACACAUGCAAGUCGAGCGGGCGUAGCAAUACGUCAGCGGCAGACGGGUGAGUAACGCGUGGGAACGUACCUUUUGGUUCGGAACAACCCAGGGAAACUUGGGCUAAUACCGGAUAAGCCCUCACGGGGAAAGAUUUAUCGCCGAAAGAUCGGCCCGCGUCUGAUUAGCUAGUUGGUGAGGUAAUGGCUCACCAAGGCGAGGAUCAGUAGCUGGUCUGAGAGGAUGAUCAGCCACAUUGGGACUGAGACGCGGCCCAAACGACAUACGGGAGGCAGC
rnacentral:rRNA from 1 species